UAGUAACGGCGAGUGAAGCGGUAACAGCUCAAAUUUGAAAUCUGGCUCCCUGCGGAGUCCGAGUUGUAAUUUGUAGAAGAUGCUUUGGGUGCACGAUCCGGCCUAAGUGCCUUGGAACAGGACGUCGUAGAGGGUGAGAACACCGUAUGCGGCCGGUUUCGACGCCCGUGUAAAGCUCUUUCGACGAGUCGAGUUGUUUGGGAAUGCAGCUCAAAAUGGGUGGUAAAUUUCAUCUAAAGCUAAAUAUGGGCCAGAGACCGAUAGCGCACAAGUAGAGUGAUCGAAAGAUGAAAAGCACUUUGGAAAGAGAGUUAAACAGUACGUGAAAUUGUUGAAAGGGAAGCGCUUGCAACCAGACUUGGGCGUCGCUGAUCAUCCAAAGUUCUCUUUGGUGCACUCGACGACGCACAGGCCAGCAUCGGUUGGGGUGGUGGGAGAAAGACUGCAGGAACGUAGCUCUUUUCGGAGAGUGUUAUAGCCUGCGGUGCAAUACCGCCUACCUCGACCGAGGACCGCGCUUCGGCUAGGAUGCUGGCGUAAUGGUUGUAAGCGACCCGUCUUGAAACACGGACCAAGGAGUCUAACAUCUAUGCGAGUGUUUGGGUGCGAAACCCAUGCGCGAAAUGAAAGUGAACGUAGGUGAGAACCCUUUAAGGGGGCAUCAUCGACCGAUCCUG
rnacentral:rRNA from 1 species